CUCCCACCUAGCAUACAAGCACUCCUGCAAACUCCCGUUUCCAAACCAGUAGGGAAGACUCUCUGAACAAUUCAAAGACAAUGGAGAGAGUUGACUGGAAUGUUCAAGGAUGAGAAAACAGGAAUGGCAUUCAGUGAAAUUAAACUUGAAAAGAACUAUUGGAAACUUUGGAAAUGCUGUUUAAGUAAUCUGAGCAAUUAGGUGUUUAGGACUAUGCAGCACUUUAGAGUCCAAAUCAAAAAUAUACUUUGAAGUCCAUGGAGUGAUAUAUGCCUGGAACUCUAUUCAUCCAUUCAUCUUCCUAGGAUUGAACUGUAUUGUGGAAUCCAAAAAAAUGUCCUUCUUUAAGGAACUGCAGACAAUACUAUACUAUGGUUGAAUGAAAAAUAAUGCCUCCAAUAGUGCAAAUCAGCAGAAGAUGUCAGUUAAGAUAGCAAUUCAGUAUGUGAAAAAUCUACCUUUCUGAAGAAAACAGGAUGACCAGCAGCACGGACACUGAAAAAGGAAGACUCAAAGGACUAUGAAGGAACACGUUAUCAUGGCAAAAAUUACUCUUUGUGGUUGCUAACACUUACACUGACUUGAUGGCACAUAAUCAAUCAGUAGAUAAGUGUGCAAGUAGAGGUAAAUGCAAUUAUAUAUUUUAUAUAUAUAUAAAAGCUACAGUGGAUGUAAUUGAUGCCAUCACAGGCAAAGAUUUUGAGUGUUUAAAAAGAGCAGAUAUUUCAUUCUUUGGCAGGCAUUUUUAUAUUGUAUGUUUGACAGGCACAAUAUGAUGUUCUGCAAUUUAUAUAGUGGACAUAAAUCACAACACAAUGAAUAAUCAGAGUCUUUGAAUUUAUGAUCACUAUUGUUCCUUUAAUAUAUUUUUAUGAACUUAAAGUAUUUUCUAUAUUUUUAAAAGUUUUAUUUUAUACCAAAUUUUGGAAAAAUAAUCACUGGACUUUUAAAAUAGCAUUAGAAACAUGUGGUUUAUGACAAUGAGGAACAAAUCUGCUUUGAAUGGGCUCUACUUGUAGAAAUAGGAAACGUAUAUAACUUGGAUUUUAAGUCAAUGCAAAAUAAGAAGUAAAUGUUUGCAGAUAUUAGGUGGUUAUGUGUCACAAUCCAUUCACCUUUUUAAUAGCAGCUGAUAGGUUUGUGAAAAUUGGAAUUGCUUGGGACUAAUUACAAUACUUAGUCUUAUGUACUGUAGUCUCUUAGCUUUUAUAUUGGAAUAUAGGGAUUAUUUUCAUACAUGAAUAUUUUGGUGUUGCUCUUACAAACAAAUACAUCUACCCAUCUUGCAAUCAGCUCUGGCUGGUAAACAAGUAUAAAGCCAAACAUAAAACUAAUAUACGUAAAGCCAAUGAAGGUAAUAAAGACAAUAGGUAAAAAUCUGUCAAGGAUGAUAUCCAAGCUCUGGAAAAAGUGGAAGAAUGAUAAAAGCUUCAAAAUUUGUGCUCCCUCCCAACCUUGAUUAAAUAUGGCAUGAAAGAAAGUAUAGGGAAAUUCAGUAGGUUUUAAGAUUCUGUUGUUGUAUCUUACAAAAAAUAAAGCAAUUCUUGUGAUGUCUAUUUUCUGAUUUGACCGAUGAAAAGGAGUUGCCAUUCUGUCACACAUGUUGAGUACUUGUUAAUCAAGAUUCUGAUCUACAAAAUUUUAAUUUUCUACUCAUGUUUGCUUGAUCAGUCUCUGACUUGAUAAAAAAAAAAUCACUCUAUUGUGGAAGAGUGAAUUGGAAUUUGAUUUCUUUGCUCUUGCAGUCAAGACAUAAAAUGUAGAAGCACAAAAUUGGCAACAUUACUUUUCAAGUUUUUUGGAUAAAAUGAGCCUCUUCUUAAAACUUGUUAAAUAGGUUUUAUGUUGCAAAAGCAACAUGAACAUGGAGAACCAUAGAAGAUAUUUUAUGUUCCAUAAAAGUAAUGAAACAUAUUGCACUAAAAUCUGUGUAUAUAUUCAAUAUAUUUUUUAUAUAUUUCCUUGUUCUAACAGACUGAGAGGAGUUGCAAUAAUAAAUCAUAUUAAAGAAAUUAUUGUCCAUAACUAGCUUUAUUUUUGUAUCAUUUUUAAUUCUUCUUGGCAGGCAUAAUAUAUUAGCACAUUGAUUGGUUUCACAUUAUGGGUUCCUUAACUAUAAUUUAUUUAAUAAAUUCCAAUUUAUUUGGUUUAUACAAAGAAUAAUACCAUAUACAGACAACAUAAACAGACACAAUAACUUAUUUCACAUGACAUAUGACAGUCAAAGAAACCAUGUUAGCUAAGCCAUUCUGAAUACCCAUUUUCUUUGUAUUUUUAAACAUAUUGUUUAUAUUGUUUCCUAGUAUGAUUUGAUUGCUUAUUAGUAUCCUAUGACAAUCACUAAGUGUUCUAUCUUAUAAUUUUAUUUUUUCUUUAUGUACACUGAGAGCAUAUGCACCAAAGACAGAUUCCUUGUGUGUCCAAUCACACUUGGCCAAUAAAAAUAAUUCUAUUCUAUCUAUUCUAUCUAGUGAAUCUAGCAACUUUGCUAACAUACUCACUUUUUCCAUUUCUUUUCACUAGGGAUAUAUCAUUAAACUGAAAUAAGAUCAACACUUGGUCCAGCUUUCUUUCACUUGUUGGUUUUAAUUCUAGUAAUCUUACCUUCUAGAGUUUAAGAAAGAUACUUAUAGAUUUUGAUAUGAUCAGUUAUAGUAAAAAAAAAACCUGUUAAUUUAAAAAUGAAACAGAGAUGAAACUUUAUCCAGUUUUCUUGGUGUUUCUGAAGGAAACAGUCUCUGGACUGUAAUUUUAAAGUGGUUAAACCACUUUUUCUAGAGCACUAUUUUUAAACUGCUGUAUAAAUAACCCAAGUGAAAAAGUGAAAUAUAUUCAACUUAAGGAAUUACUACAGCACUGUAAAGUCAAAUAAUUAUAAGUAGUCAAAUAUAAGCUUAGCUAAUUAUAAACAUUAAAAUAUUAAUAAUCCAUAAAAGAAUUUUUUUAAAAUUUUGAAUUGUUUGAUAUAUUGGACUACUAAGAAUAUGAAAUAAAGAACAGACUGAGAAAAUCUUGAGUAUACAUUAAAUAGUAUGCAUUAUUUGCAAAUAUUCAUAGUUCAAUUAUGGCUCAAUAUAUAUUAAUAUGUCAUUUUUUAAAAAAAUACUGUUUUUUAUAUUAUCUUCAUCUGAGGCAUUUAAUGGUUACCUAAGUAAAAUACACUGCUAAGAAUCAUUAGAGAUAAUGGCACUCAUUGCAGCAUUUCUUCCUUUAAUAAAUAGUAUUUUAAUUGCAAUGGAUACAGUCUAAAGGCAAAUGGCUCACUAAUGCUUAGAGAAUUGUACUAUGAAAGUCUAUUAUAAUUUACCAUUGUGGUCACUUUGAUGAUAAAUUAUAUUUACAUAAUUUGU